rnacentral:rRNA from 1 species
AUUGAACGCUGGCGGCAGGCUUAACACAUGAAAGUCGAGCGGGGUGAUGGUGCUUGCACUAUCACUUAGCGGCGGACGGGUGAGUAAUGCUUAGGAAUCUGCCUAUUAGUGGGGGACAACAUCUCGAAAGGGAUGCUAAUACCGCAUACGUCCUACGGGAGAAAGCAGGGGAUCACUUGUGACCUUGCGCUAAUAGAUGAGCCUAAGUCGGAUUAGCUAGUUGGUGGGUUAAAGGCCUACCAAAGCGACGAUCUGUAGCGGGUCUGAGAGGAUGAUCCGCCACACUGGGACUGAGACACGGCCCAGACUCCUACGGGAGGCAGCAGUGGGGAAUAUUGGACAAUGGGGGGAACCCUGAUCCAGCCAUGCCGCGUGUGUGAAGAAGGCCUUAUGGUUGUAAAGCACUUUAAGCGAGGAGGAGGCUCUUUUGGUUAAUACCCAAGAUGAGUGGACGUUACUCGCAGAAUAAGCACCGGCUAACUCUGUGCCAGCCGCCGCGGUAA